rnacentral:rRNA from 1 species
GAUGAACGCUGACAGAAUGCUUAACACAUGCAAGUCCACUUGAACUUCGGUUUGGGUGGCGGACGGGUGAGUAACGCGUAAAGAACUUGCCUCACAGCUAGGGACAACAUUUGGAAACGAAUGCUAAUACCUGAUAUUAUGAUUUUAGGGCAUCCUAGAAUUAUGAAAGCUAUAUGCGCUGUGAGAGAGCUUUGCGUCCCAUUAGCUAGUUGGAGAGGUAACGGCUCACCAAGGUGAUGAUGGGUAGCCGGCCUGAGAGGGUGAACGGCCACAAGGGGACUGAGACACGGCCCUUACUCCUACGGGAGGCAGCAGUGGGGAAUAUUGGACAAUGGACCAAGAGUCUGAUCCAGCAAUUCUGUGUGCACGAUGAAGUUUUUCGGAAUGUAAAGUGCUUUCAGUUGGGAAGAAAAAAAUGACGGUACCAACAGAAGAAGUGACGGCUAAAUACGUG